GCGUCGGUGGUGCAAUGGUUAGCAUACGCUCCCAGAAGAGUGAGAUCUGGGUUCGAGUGCCGGCUGACGAA